AACUAUCAGUGUUCCAACUAUCAGUGAUCCCUCAUUGCUCCUGUAUUGACAGUCUCUUGUGUGAGUUUCUCCCUAUGAAGUAAGCCUGUCAUUUGAAAGAAUUCUUAGGGCAAUGACUAUAAUUACAACCAAAGGUUGAGCUGGAAAGAGCAGUGAUGUGACAGUUUCGUGAUAGGAAGGGUGGAGAGAGGAUGGAAGCUUAUAAUUUUCUGUGAGCUGUCUUGAAGUCUGACAGUAGCCCUCCCCUCGUGAUGUAAAUGUGCAGCAAUGUGGAGAUUCAGGAGAGAAUAAGCGACAGACAGGCCUGCCAAGGCACUGUUGCUUUGACUACCAGUCAACAGGAAGAAAGCCUCACACAGUGCUGAAUUCUCCACAGCAUCUUUAAAAGGAAUGGUCUAGAACAGUAGUUCCUAGCAUUUUGGAACAAGUGGGCCUCUUUUGAAUGUCAAAACUCUUCAUUCCUCAUAUGAAAUGACAUGUUCUUUUUGAAGACAUUAUUUAAGGAAAUACAUAAUAACAAGCAACUGCACAUUUGUUACUUUGAAAUACACUUUUUAUUUCAUUAUCCACAACAACUUUUGUGGAUACCUGAAAAAUAUGAUGUAUGCAGCCAACCAACAAAGCUUGGCCCUUAUGUAUUUAAUGAUGUUUGCAGCAGCCCAUUAAUUGUGAUUUCCUCCUGCCCCUACUUCAAGGUCACAAACCUGGAAUAGUAUGUUCCUUCUAUUCAUUCAUUAGUUUAUUUAAUUAUAUCUUUUCACUAAAAACAAAAAAAAAGUAUUAGGAGCCUACUAUAUUCUGAGCAUCAUGCUAGAGGUUGAAAAUAUAAAAUCAACAAACAUCUGGUGUCUGCCCUCAAGGACUUUCAGUCCAAUUAGGGACAGAGACAUCAAAGGAGGAUGUGGUCAGCUCUAAGGGGGAGAGGUAUAUCAGUCAGCUAUUGCCACAGUGAUGCUAUACACUAAAUUGCUCAAAGACACACUGGCUUAAACAGUCAUCUGCAGGCUCACGGUCUGCAAGAUGAUGGCCAAAUCCAUGGCUGUGCUCAGCUGCAGGCUUUGAGCUCCAGGCUCCAUGCUGCACAUUGGGCUUGGGUUUGCUUCUCACAGCUCUCAUCCUCCUUAGAUCAGAUUAUGUUCCCAUACAUCAAGGUUGGGGACCAUCCCGCCCAAGGGCCAAAAUUAUUUGGUCUGACCCUGCUAAGGUAUUAGGGGUGAGUACAUUAAAUGGUUGGCCAAAUAUAGCAGGCUGAUUGUGUAUGGCCCAAGAAUGAUGCUAUUAUACAAAUACCCAAAGAGCCCUUGGCAUAAAAAAAGUCCCCCAUCUCUGUCAUAGAUAAAGGUCAGUCAAGAGACAGAGCACCUAAUGGUGCAAAAAUUGUUCAAGUCUUUGUUCUUGCUGCAGUCAUUCAAUGCCAUUGACCAAAGCAAAUAGCACGCCAAGCCCAGUGUCAAUGGACAGGGGAGGUAUACUCUGCCUUCCCAUGAGGUAGCUGUGGAUGCUACUACAGAAAAGUGAAGAACUGGCAUUCCAAAUUUAAUUUGCCACAUGACAGAACCUUCCAUCUAUAUCCUGAGGGAUAAUUACAAGAUUAUCAAGUGGCUCUAAACAUCUGAAAUAAGGAUCAGGAGAAAUUAAGGACUGCUGGUGCACAGUAUUUGGCUUAAAAGAAAGGAGGGAUGGGAGUUGGGACUGUUGGGGGGCAUCCAUGCUCAGUGUCCAUCAUGGGAUAUACAGGGCCAUUGGUGUGUGGAGAUGGGCCAGAAUCAGAUGGAUCCAGAGCUUUAACGAAAGGCCUCAUCCUCCUGGUAGACCAUGACAGGGCCCUUUUCAGUCAGUGUCUUCAUUGUGGUGACAGUGACACUUCAAAGCAGAAAAGCAGGACUCACAUUCUGGGCUGCCUUCUACAGUCACCCAUCCUUCAUGCUGCUGUCUACCGAGGACUGAGCCUGGGGUUUGUAUUAGUUUCCUGUUGCCACGGUUACCAAAUUACCUCCAACUUAAAUGGCUUAAAAAACAACACGCAUGUAUUGUUUUACAGUUCUGGAGGUUAGAGUCUGAAAUGAGUCUAAGCUAAAAUCAAACUUGUACAGAGUGGCUACAGCAUUGGGACAGGUUCAAGCUUUCGACUAAUGGUAGGGCAAGGUCUUCUGGUCAUAAAGCCACCUGUAAGUCCCAGCUUGGAAGACAAAGCCCUCCCAGCACAUUAUAGCCAAAGGCUAUAGUUGUGAGCUUGACCUUAUGGUAUGAACCUGUGGUCUCAGGUGACUAAGUGAUAUAGGCUGCAGGGGGUGCAGCUAGAGCUGCCAAAACAAAGCUUGAUAGAGUUCAGGUGCAUGUAAUUGAGUAGAUUCUAAACCUGCACGAACGUUGCAAACAUCUUGACCAUGCUCUUACUCUGCUGCAUAAAAUCUGUCUAUAAAAUAAAGAUUCUGCUUGCAGGUUGUGGCACGGUCUCUCCAUCUGAGAAUAGUGUCCCACCUACCCCAGCUUUAUUCUCCUGUGUUCUUCUUUAAUCCUUCACCCCUGGCCAUGCUAAGCAUGGCUCACACACCUAUUCUGGAGACUCUAGAACAGAUCUGUGUCCUUGCCUUUACCAGCUGCUUGGGCCUACCUGCAUUCCAUUGGGUUUUCGUUCCUUCCUCUGUCUUCAGGGCAGCAGAGAGCAUCUUCAAAAUUUUCUCUGACCCUGAACUUCUGCCUCCCUCUUCCACAUUCAAAGGACACUUGUACCCAUACUGGGCUCACCCACACUGACCUUACUUUCAGGACAGGUAGUGAGCCACCCAAAUUCCUCUUGCCAGGUAACAUAGGCCUUAGCCUCCCUACCACGUGGCACUUGGGUGAGGCAAGUAGGAGGGCAAAUUGAGCAAUGCCUCCUAUUGGUACAAUACUUUAUGACAGGCCGAACACUUUCAUUUUUAUGCUUUCACUUUUGAAUGAGUAGAUGGUAAGCAGACAACCAUUCUGUAAGGGAAUACACUGAAAUCUGGAAUGGCUAAAUGGCCACAUAGCAUAAUAGUUACUUGCUGCUUCUUCAGUUACCUCAGAGUACUCAGAAUGUGUCCACAUUGGUCCCUGUCUGACUCUAUGGCAAUUAUUGGUCCCCCGUUUGCCUCACCACAUCCAGGCAAGCAUACAGUCCCUUAUGCCCUGUGCCUCGGUGGUUAAGGAUGGUGAAAGAAAAUAAUAUGUUUAAGGAACUGUUUGGGUCCAUCUUGUGUUGGGGAUGCUAUAUGUGUAAUUUAUUCUUCCCCCUACUUGGAGAUAAAUAAACGUACCCCCAGGGUCACAAAGGUCACAGCCAAGGCCAAGGCUGGAAUUCACACAGAGAGAUCUGCUGACUCAUGGCCAGGGCUCUUUCCCAACUUCCUAUGGGCCAGAGAUUUUCAAGCCUCAUUUUCAAGCAGCAGCAGUGUGGGCUACAUGGAGUUCAAACCGAGACCUGCAGAAGCAAGGGGCAGGUUCCAUACCCUGGUUCCUGUUUGUUGCUUCACAAUGAUUGUGACUUUGCUGAUGGAGAGAAUGUCUAACACUAGGCGUUUCAGGAACAAUCACUGUGGCCUCAGUGGAUUCCCUGCAUCUGUGGGCUGGCUUCCUUCAGGAAGAGGGCUGGGAGGAGGUGGCCUGCUUCCCUCUGUAAUUGGAAACAUGGAUAUUCGCAUUAGCACAGGAAGAGCUGGGGCAGAGACACACAUGUCCUAUGUUCAGAAGGGAGCAGCUUUUCCCAUUGAGUCUGUGGAUAAUUCCAGUUUUAAGACAGAAC